AGGAUGAACGCUGGCGGCGUGCUUAACACAUGCAAGUCGAACGAUGAAGCAGAGCUUGCUCUGUGGAUUAGUGGCGAACGGGUGAGUAACACGUGAGUAACCUGCCCUUGACUCUGGAAUAAGCGUUGGAAACGACGUCUAAUACCGGAUACGAGCUUCCGCCGCGUGGUGAGGAGCUGGAAAGAAUUUCGGUCAAGGAUGGACUCGCGGCCUAUCAGGUAGUUGGUGAGGUAAUGGCUCACCAAGCCUACGACGGGUAGCCGGCCUGAGAGGGUGACCGGCCACACUGGAACUGAGACACGGUCCAGACUCCUACGGGAGGCAGCAGUGGGGAAUAUUGCACAAUGGGCGCAAGCCUGAUGCAGCAACGCCGCGUGAGGGACGACGGCCUUCGGUGUAACCUCUUUAGUAGGAAGAAGGCUUCGGUCUGACGGUACUGCAGAAAAGCACCGGCUAACUACGUGCCAGCACGCCG
rnacentral:rRNA from 1 species